rnacentral:tmRNA from 17 species
GGGGCUGAUUCUGGAUUCGACGGGAUUUGCGAAACCCAAGGUGCAUGCCGAGGGGCGGUUGGCCUCGUAAAAAGCCGCAAAAAAUAGUCGCAAACGACGAAAACUACGCUUUAGCAGCUUAAUAACCUGCUUAGAGCCCUCUCUCCCUAGCCUCCGCUCUUAGGACGGGGAUCAAGAGAGGUCAAACCCAAAAGAGAUCGCGUGGAAGCCCUGCCUGGGGUUGAAGCGUUAAAACUUAAUCAGGCUAGUUUGUUAGUGGCGUGUCCGUCCGCAGCUGGCAAGCGAAUGUAAAGACUGACUAAGCAUGUAGUACCGAGGACGUAGGAAUUCCGGACGCGGGUUCAACUCCCGCCAGCUCCACCA